GCUUUACUAUAGCCUGGAAUUGGGUUCGGGCUUCCCUUGCGCAGAAUAGGUGGGAGACGAUGAAGAUCGCCUUGUGGGGUGAUCCGAGUCAUCGGUGAGAUACCACUCUAGGGAGGCUAGAAUUCUAACUUGCUCCCGUAAUCCGGGAGAAGAACAGUUUCAGGUGGGUAGUUUGACUGGGGUCGGUCGCCUCCAAAAAAGUAACGGAGGCGCACAAAGGUUCCCUCAGGCUGGAUGGAAAUCAGCCAGAGAGUGUAAAGGCACAAGGAGCUUGCU
rnacentral:rRNA from 1 species